GCCCAGAUGGCGGAAUUGGUAGACGCGCUAGAUUCAGGUUCUAGUGGACGCUUUAGUUCGUGGAAGUUCGAGUCUUCUUCUGGGCA
rnacentral:tRNA from 1 species